rnacentral:rRNA from 1 species
UACGGAGGGUGCAAGCGUUAUCCGGAUUCACUGGGUUUAAAGGGUGCGUAGGAGGGUAGGUAAGUCAGUGGUGAAAUCUUCGAGCUUAACUCGGAAACUGCCGUUGAUACUAUCUAUCUUGAAUACCGUGGAGGUGAGCGGAAUAUGUCAUGUAGCGGUGAAAUGCUUAGAUAUGACAUAGAACACCAAUUGCGAAGGCAGCUCGCUACACGAAUAUUGACUCUGAGGCACGAAAGCGUGGGGAGUCAAACAGG